GGUUAAGCGACUAAGCGUACACGGUGGAUGCCUAGGCAGUCAGAGGCGAUGAAGGGCGUGCUAAUCUGCGAAAAGCGUCGGUAAGGUGAUAUGAACCGUUAUAACCGACGAUACCCGAAUGGGGAAACCCAGUGCAAUUCGUUGCACUAUUGCAUGGUGAAUACAUAGCCAUGCAAGGCGAACCGGGGGAACUGAAACAUCUAAGUACCCCGAGGAAAAGAAAUCAACCGAGAUUCCCCCAGUAGCGGCGAGCGAACGGGGAGGAGCCCAGAACCUGAAUCAGCGUAUGUGUUAGUGGAAGCGUCUGGAAAGUCGCACGGUACAGGGUGAUAGUCCCGUACACAAAAAUGCAUAUGUUGUGAGUUCGAUGAGUAGGGCGGGACACGUGACAUCCUGUCUGAAUAUGGGGGGACCAUCCUCCAAGGCUAAAUACUCCUGACUGACCGAUAGUGAACCAGUACCGUGAGGGAAAGGCGAAAAGAACCCCGGCGAGGGGAGUGAAACAGAACCUGAAACCGUGUACGUACAAGCAGUGGGAGGACCUUCGUGGUG
rnacentral:rRNA from 1 species